rnacentral:misc_RNA from 1 species
CGUAGGUGAACCUGCGGAAGGAUCAUUAUUGUAUAACCGAGGUGCGAGGGCUGUCGCUGACCCGAAAGGUCGUGCACGCCCGAGUGCCCUCACACACAUCCAUCUCACCCCUAUGUGCACCACCGCGUGGGUCCCCCUUUGGCUUGUUCGGAGGGGGGCUUACGUUUUCACACAAACUUUGUAUGCAGUGUAGAAUGUAUUUUUUGUUUUUGCGAUCACGCAAUCAAUACAACUUUCAACAACGGAUCUCUUGGCUCUC